UUGCCAGAGUGAACUAGCUAACUGAAAUCAUAUGACUCAUGAAUUUGGUGAUUAUGAUAACAUAAGGGAAAAUAAUGAUGUUACCUUAUUAUUAGUGUUGUCCCAAAACUGGUGCCAGAAGACUCGGUAAGACCAGAGACCGCAAACGUUAGUCAUCUUAAUCAGGCGUAAAGGGUGUGUAGGCUGCUUUAAAAGUUUAUUUUUUUUAAUAGCUCUUUAACCGUAAUACUAUCUAAAAAUAUUUCUUAUUAAAAAAGGAAAGGUAGUAUAUAAAAUUUAUUUUCAAAUAAAUGAUAUUUAUAAGAUAUCCGUGUUUUAGUAAAAAAAUAAAUGAAUUAAAGCUAGAAUCAAAUUGAGGAUAAACCAAAUAAUACUUAGAGUAGGGGUUAAAUCCACAGAUACUAAGGGGAAUACUAAUGGUGAAGACUUUUUAUCUACUAAUGAUUGACGCUGAGACACGAAGGUGAGAAUAGGAAAUAGGAUUUGAUACCCAGAUACCUCUCACUGUCAACGAUGAAUGGUGGUUGUUAGUUUUAGAAAAAACUGGUAACGAUGUUAACACGAUAACCAUUCCGCCUUGCGAGUACGGUUGCAAAACUGAAACCAAAAAAAUUAGUCGGUCUCGAAGCAAACGAAGUGAAGCAU
rnacentral:rRNA from 1 species